GGGUCGAUGCCCGAGUGGCUAAAGGGGGCGGAUUGUAAAUCCGCUGGCAUUUGCCUACGUUGGUUCAAAUCCAACUCGGCCCA
rnacentral:tRNA from 1 species